UAGGGGGUAGGGUACGGGGCAGCCACCAUGUGUCUGUAAUGACAGUCCAAACUUCCGCCCUGGACAACUCUGCUCCGAAAAGCAUUCUUCACUGGGCACGUAAGACAGGCAAAGAAGUUAAACCGAGGGGUGGAGAUAAGGGGCCUAUUGAGUCCAACUUGCUGGGGGAGGGGGCACGGAAAGGGGAAGUUCCAGACCACUGUAGCCAGGGUCCUGAAAUUUAGGGACUGUGCAGAACAGCCAUCAGGAUAGAAAGGGUCAUUAAAACCUUUGGGAGGAUGAGAGGGCAGCGGAGACUGGAGGAAAGGAGGGGACCCAGAACAGAACGGGGGGGGGGGGGACCAACUUUUUAACUCUCUCUCUUCCUCCCUCCCUCUGUGUGUGUGUGCACGCGCGCAUGCGCGUGCGUGCGCUAUGUGUAGUAUAAUGUGACUAUGGUACGUGUGUUCGUAUGUUAGAAUAGAGGAACACAUGCGGAGUUAGAGGACAACCUUGGAUGUCAGCUUGUGCUUUCUACCUUGUUUUGCUUGUUGCUAUGUGUGACAGGCUAGCUGGUUCAGGAGCUUCCCAGGGAUGCUUCUGCCUCUGGGAUUAGACACAUCCCUGCCCAGCCAUCUCCUCAGCUCAAGAAAACUAACUCUUAAGGUCUGGACAGAAGAAGCAGGUUCCAUGAAGGACAAUAGAAGGAUCCAGGCCAUGGGGGAAAAUCCCAGGAAGAAGGUGAACUACAGAAGCCGGGAAGGAGAAUGUAGGUGGGGACACCAAGCCUAACACGAGGUUCCUGCACAGCACCAGGAGGAUGCCAUGCUGACAUUGCCGUGACGACUGAAUACUGUGGAAGCCUCACUCCGCUUACCACUUUGCCAGCCUUACCUCCUGCUGUCACUAAACAGGGACACUGGCCUCUGAGGAUAAUUGUCAAUUUCUCAGCACAGUAGGAUGGGAUGCUUGAGAUUUCCGAGUCUGGGUCUCUUUCUUGGACCACUGAGGAACAGGCUGAGUCUCUGCACCCAGGCUGACAGUCUACAGACACCAACUACCCUGCUGCCAAGUCGAUGGCUAAGAAGGAGAUCAGCAAACCCCACCUAGGAGUCAGACACCCAGUGGAUCUAUUCUCUGCUCCUUCAGCCAAGCACCCACCCCCUGGAGCCGGCUCCUGGGGGCCCUUGCCAGGUUCGUGCCAUCCACAGGUCCCGGAGCCUGCAGGGGAGACCUAGAUGGCACUGAGCGCUGGGGCUUCGCCGGCUGCAUCCGUGCACGUGCACGCAGGCAGGUGUCCCUCCCCUCCCCCUCGAUGCCUGCGCAGGGCUGCGGUCCUUUGUGUCUGAGUCUCCUCGAGCGGGCGUCUGCUCUAGACUGGGUGGGGUGGGGGAAACCGGAAGCGGCGUCUGGGGCUUGAAAAAUGUCUAGAAGGGUGGACGUUUUCUUUCACAACCCUGACCCCUGCAGGGCCUCCAC